AGACAAUAUGACGAUGAGCUUUGAUAGAAGCGGGGGGACCUGGAGGUCAAAAUGUGAAUAAAGUGAACACCAAGGUGGAUAUGCGCUUCAAUGUCAAGGAUGCUUACUGGCUCAGUGACAGGAUCAAAGAGAAGAUUAUGCAAAUGG